GAUUGGAUAGCUCAGUCAGUAGAGCAUGAGACUCUUAAUCUCAGAGUCAUGGGUUUGAGCCCCACACUGGACA